GCCAGCAUAACUCAAGCAAGGUUUGGGUUAAUCAACCGAGUGUUUAGGGUAAAUAUAAGAUCGUCAUGUCUUUGUUCUUCAAACUGCUCUCCACCCCGAUAAGUUGACUUUCCUCCAGCGUUAUUUCAGGGAAGUGUAUGUUCAGCAUACCAACUGUCACUGGUCUAUGAAAAUAUCAUCUCUGCACUUUGGAGACGACAACUGAAGUUGUUUUUAUCCAUGAAAGAACCAUAAACUCUUCAUGUGUCCAAAAAAGUUAAGUAACACAAUUGUGCCACAGUGAAGAGACAUCAUCUGGUCAUAUUUGUUAUAAAUAAAUCAAGUGGAGUAUUUAUAUGUUGCAGGUUGUGUUAAAAUUAAGUGAAAAAGGAAAUGGUGAAAGUGCACUUGCUUUGCAGGUAAAACAAAUGCACAUUUAAAAAUUAAAUCAUGCAAGCAAGACAAAGUAGCUUCAUCCAACAGUUUUAUUAUCUGCGGAUAAAGUGCCUAGACACAGAUCUUUUUAAAAUCUUCUGUCUCUUGUUUGUCUAUUUCCAUGGCUUAGCUUUAAACCUACAAGAAAAGCACUACUUGGUCAUUUAUUUAGUCUUGAAAAUGCCUGAAAAUGUCAUUUCUGAGAUAACAAACUGUAGGCAGAUAGCUGUUCUCUUAAUUCAGAACUCAUAUUGGUGCUUUUGCAAAACCAUGCUUUCAUGUUUUCUAUGUACUUGACAAACCAAGACAGACGGUGUGGCACACUGACCCGAGCAUAAGCUUUAUAAAUUCCACAGUUAAACCUUUCUAGUGGGAGUGGGGUGCUAAUGAGAUGCAGGACAUGAUGAAUUAUAAUUAUUUUACUACCUCAGAAGUUACCACAGCUCAGACCCACACAGCGAACACUCUAUAUUCACAUGCUUUUCUUACAGUAAUGUAAAUAGAGUCAUUGUCUGUCAAAUGGUUUGGGAAUCAGUUGGAAGAGGAGUGAGCAUGUUUCUUUUCACUUCUUGUACAUUAUUUUAUUAAUAGGUUUGGAAAUGGUUUUGCAAAUCAUAUUGUGACCUUGUAGUUCACUGGUUGUACACACGUUUGGAAUAAUUAUUGUUUUUAACUGUUUUUGAAAGAAGUCUCUUUGAAAAGGCUGCAUUGAUUUGAUAAAAAUACAGUAAAAACAGUCAUAUUGGAAAAUAUUAUUAAAAUUUAAAAUAACUGGUUUCUAUUUGAAUAUUUUUUUUUAAAUGUCAUUUAUUCCUGUGAUGGCAAAGCUGAAUUUUCAGCAGGCAUUACUUGGUGUCACAUUAUCCUUCAUUAUUGUUAUCAUUGUAGAAAAAACUUUUUGCUGCUUAAGAUUUUUGUAGAGCCCAUGAGAUAUUUGUACAUGAUUUGAGUAAUAGAAAGUUAACUGAACAACAUUUAAUAGAAAGAUUUAGAUUUGUUUUGUAACAUUAUUAUCUUUACUGUCACUUUUGAUCAAUGUAAUGCAUUCUCGCUGAAUAAAAGUAUUAAUUUCUUUUUUUAAAUCAUACUUAUCCUAGCUUUUAAAUUAACUGAACAAGGACGUGCAUCACAGUCUCCAUAAAAAUAUUAAGAAGCAAAAAUUUAUUUCAGUGUUGAUAAAAAUAAGAUAUUAGAUUGUGUCCUGAAGGAUCAUGUGACACUGAAGAUUGAAACAAUGUAUGCUGAAAAU
ensembl:lncRNA